rnacentral:rRNA from 1 species
ACAUCCAGCGAACUUGGCAGAGAUGCCUUGGUGCCUUCGGGAACGCUGAGACAGGUGCUGCAUGGCUGUCGUCAGCUCGUGUUGUGAAAUGUUGGGUUAAGUCCCGCAACGAGCGCAACCCUUAUCCUUGUUGCCAGCGAUUCGGUCGGGAACUCAAAGGAGACUGCCGGUGAUAAACCGGAGGAAGGUGGGGAUGACGUCAAGUCAUCAUGGCCCUUACGAGUAGGGCUACACACGUGCUACAAUGGCGCAUACAAAGAGAAGCGACCUCGCGAGAGCAAGCGGACCUCAUAAAGUGCGUCGUAGUCCGGAUCGGAGUCUGCAACUCGACUCCGUGAAGUCGGAAUCGCUAGUAAUCGUGGAUCAGAAUGCCACGGUGAAUACGUUCCCGGGCCUUGUACACACCGCCCGUCACACCAUGGGAGUGGGUUGCAAAAGAAGUAGGUAGCUUAACCUUCGGGAGGGCGCUUACCACUUUGUGAUUCAUGACUGGGGUGAAGUCGUAACAAGGUAGGCGUAGCGAG